UAUGUUUAUUUUGAAAAUAAAAAUGUUAUUGAUGGGUUGGAGAAUGGUGCUUCAGCUGGAAUAAUAAUCCAGAUGUAAUUGCUUAUCUUUUCAAUGUCUGUAGUAAUGAAGCUGCUUAUCUUGCUCCUGUGGUCAAAGAAAGUUUUCAGAACCCAUUAGAUUAGGAGAUUAAUUUUCAACAUUUUUAGCAUGCUUAGUUUUUUUUUUUUUAACCAAAAAUGCUUAGUUUGUUUCUUCUUUUUUUGUUCUUCCCAGUGUGAAGAUCUGGCUGGGAUAUAGUGGGGAAUUGUUGAAGUCUUCCAAAGUUAAUCAUACUCCGUUUUCUCUUUUGAAGGAGGUUGUAACUGUUGAUUCGGUCCCCGUCUCCUUGGUUUCUCUUAUUGUGCCCAUAUAGUCCCCACAGGAAAUGCAUUUAGCUAUUGGCAAAGGAUCCAGGUCUUUUGAUGUGUUGAUUUGUGACAUAUCUACCACUACCAGCAAAUCUGAUAAAAUUGGCCCAUAUGGUGCACGUGAUCAUAUUCGGGCUCCACUCCAUACACCAAUUUGUAGCAGAAGUGCAAUGCAGCUAUUGUUCAGCAUCUGUUCCAUUUGAAUCUACAGAAGAUGCUUUUCUGCCAAGGUGUGAAUUGCAGCGAUGGAGUUAGUCUGAGCCACAAACUGUUCCGGUGUGCUGCUUCCAUGCAGGUCUGCCCUACUACUACUACAUGGUUUUGUUUGUGUUGUCAGAGGCAGACUUCAAAGGCUCUAUUCAGAAUGCCCUCUUAUCCUUCAGAUUUCAAGAUCUCUACUGAAUCUUCAAGGCUAGAACUACUUUCAAAACCAUUAUCCCCCUUUGUAGGAUACUGCUACAAAGAUUACAACCAGAAUUUCUCUGUGAUAUAUGGGUGUCAAGGUUAAGGAACCUUAGACAUCACAAAAUAAUAUUGUGGACCUUAUCCAUUACUAAAAAUGAGAUAAGGACCUUAGACUAAUUUCU